rnacentral:rRNA from 1 species
CAUGCAAGUCAACGGGGCAUAUAGCUUGGCUUGCCAAGUUGUAUGUCAGUGGCAGACGGGUGAGUAAUACAUAGGAAUCUACCUGACAGUAAGGAAUAGUCACUAGAAAUGGUGAGUAAUACCAUAUACGCCCUGAGGGGGAAAGAUUUAUCGCUGUCAGAUGAGCCUAUGUUGGAUUAGCUAGUUGGUGAGGUAAAUGCUCACCAAGGCAACGAUCCAUAGCUGGCCUGAGAGGGUGAACAGCCACACUGGAACUGAGAUACGGUCCAGACUCCUACGGGAGGCAGCAGUGGGGAAUAUUGGCAAUGGGCGAAAGCCUGACCCAGCCAUACCGCAUGAGUGAUGAAGGCCUUCGGGUUGUAAAGCUCUUUUAGUGGGGAAGAGAAUGACGGUACCCACAGAAAAAGUCCUGGCUAACUCCGUG